GAUGAACGCUGGCGGCGUGCCUAAUACAUGCAAGUCGAGCGAACAGACGAGGAGCUUGCUCCUCUGACGUUAGCGGCGAACGGGUGAGUAACACGUGGAUAACCUACCUAUAAGACUGGGAUAACUUCGGGAAACCGGAGCUAAUACCGGAUAAUAUAUUGAACCGCAUGGUUCAAUAGUGAAAGACGGUUUUGCUGUCACUUAUAGAUGGAUCCGCGCCGCAUUAGCUAGUUGGUAAGGUAACGGCUUACCAAGGCAACGAUGCGUAGCCGACCUGAGAGGGUGAUCGGCCACACUGGAACUGAGACACGGUCCAGACUCCUACGGGAGGCAGCAGUAGGGAAUCUUCCGCAAUGGGCGAAAGCUUGACGGAGCAACGCCGCGUGAGUGAUGAAGGUCUUCGGAUCGUAAAACUCUGUUAUUAGGGAAGAACAAAUGUGUAAGUAACUAUGCACGUCCUGACGGUACCUAAUCAGAAAGCCACGGCUAACUACGUG
rnacentral:rRNA from 1 species